GGCCUCUGAUGCUGUGGCAGGGUGGCUGUGGCAUCCCGUCCUCCAGUGCAACCCGUGCCUCAGGACGCCCUGCACACUGACAGUCAAGGUGUGCACAGCACAGCACCCAGCGGGUUUCACUGACAGGGGAUGGGAGCCGCAGCCCCCAACCCUCAGAGUUCACAGCAACAGAAGCAAGAUGACAGCCAGAUAAUCCACAAUGCCAGGGGCUUUUGAGAGUAAUGAGUCCUUUCUGUCUUUGGAUGGGUGACACUGGUGGCUCACUUCACAGGACAGAGAAGUACACAGCUGACCACAGUUCCCAGCCUCACUUCAGCUGGACUGAGACCACGUAACCAGGCCUGGGGGAUGGAAUGAAGGCAGAAGUUACGUCCUGCCCAGCCAGAAACCAUCCUACUCAAUCUGCCUUCCUCUGAGUGCUGACGAGAGUCUUCAAGGUGACCUUCAGCCGUGGGAUGGUGGAGGCUUGGAAGGAAGCAGCCUGGGACCCCAGGCCCUCUUUGGGAGGAGGGCAGGAUGUGCUACCCAGCGUCCAGACACCUGGUUUGGGCUGUCUACUGGAUUUCACCCCAACCUGCCUAUUCUGAUUAAUAUGCUAAUAAAGCGUGAGCAGUAGAAAUCAGCUUGGCUUCCAGGACGGAGGGGCGAGGGUGAGCAGAGAAGUUUCGGAUCAUGCAGAGGCACCACCAAGGACCCUCUGGGAGGAGCCUUCCCAGAGAAUGAGGUGCAGCAGCACCAGACCAGCCUCCCCAAGCAACAUUGGGACUUCCCACCCCCAGUCCUGCCUGGUGGCCUCCCAAAAAGCAGGUAUCCACCAGGGCAGCCCAUCCAUCCUGUCUCCUAGGAGCAGAGAGUCAAGGCUUCCAUGCAACUUGGAGCAGGCAGCUGACCCCUGAGGUUGGCUUCGCAUCAAAAAGUGGAGAUAACAAUAAUAUCCAUGAUAAGCCUUCAUGUUGCUGAUGAGGUCAAGUGAGAAAACAUGUGCAGGAUUCUCUGGGAAUUGCACACCACUGUCCCGUCAGCAAUCAUGAGAGAGACAAAAUAGGCUGGGCCCUGGCCCACAGUCCUCUGCACAGCUGCAACUGUGCGGGAGCCAGUAUCCUUUCGGGAAGGAGUCCUGCCCCUCUUCCCCACAGAGGCCAGUACAGAUCUCUGCCCUGGGUGCUGUGGUCCCAGGGAGGGCACGGGGCCUGUGGUAAACUGAUAAUGGCCCCUGAAGACAUCAGGGUCUAACCCCUAGAACCUGUGAAUGUUCAUUAUUUGGUAGACUUUGCAGACACGGCUAAGCUAAUGAUCUCCAAGUGGGGAGAUU
rnacentral:lncRNA from 1 species